rnacentral:snRNA from 1 species
AUAUAGAUGCAGUGGCAGUAUCAUAGCCAAUGAGGUUUACCCGAGGCACGAUUAUUGCUAAUUGAAAACUAUAGAUGUAAUGAUUCUGCAUUACAUUUCAUUCAUCACUGUGUCCCCAACUGUCUGUCACAGCCCAUGGUACAGCAUUAGGAUUCAACAAAUAUGUAUUAAAUAAUUAAAUGUAUUGCUUUGUGUACCUGUACUGUUAUG